AUAAAGAAGCGCGCUGCGUUUGUCUAUGAACUGAAAAUUGUAAAUAACUGCAGAACUGGUUUCCCCAUUGAAGUCUUUCGUGCGGUAUGAAAUUUAACUUCUUUAUAUUGUCAAUCGAAAAUUAUUGUGUGCAAUAUAUGGCUACACUGAUGUUGCUAAGAUAAGUGGAAACAAUAAAUCUGACUAUGGGGUCAUUUCAAUAUUCCAUGUUUCUUGAAAACAUUCAAACUGUCAUUUCAAACGAAACAUAAAAAAUGUAAGGAAAAGUUUUGUAAAAACAAAUAAAAAUUAAAGCUUCGCGUAUUUAAUGAUUCAAAUUAAAACCUUAUUGUUAACUUACUGAUACUUAAAUCAAAUAAUAAUAAAACUUUGUAAUUAACGAUUUCUCUAUUUUCAAUUGUAAUAUAUUUUA